ACACAAGCCUUAUUUUUUUUAUUUAUUAAUUUAUUUAUUUAUUUAUAAUCAGACCGCUGACUAUGAUCACGUGUAGUUUACACAGCAGGAGGAGGAUGGAUUUGUGCAUUUUUAAAGCCUAUUCACUUGAUUUAUUCUCUAUUCUUUUUUAUUUUAUCCUAUUUUAUAAGGUCAUGUUCCACUUUUGGAGGCGCUCUCAUGUGGCAUCAGUCAGCUGUUUGAGCUCCGGCGAAGACAAGAAAACUUCAGUAAUAAUAGGGACACUGUCUUUUCAAAAUAAACCUUUUCUCUGACCACUUCUUCAACAAAAUAAGGGUUAAGUCAACAAACAACCAACAGUGAUUUCUAGAUUCCACCGUCGGCCCGUGCGCAUGUGUUUUCGCUUUGGAUCCGUGCGUGUUUGUAAAGUAUUGCAAGUCAUGUUAUUGAGGAAUAGUUUUAUGUUGGAAGGUUUGACCGGAAAACAUGUGCUAAUGAUGACUUAACGCCGACAACAAUGUCUGACUUGGUGCCUGACAGGAACGUCCCUGCUUUUCUUAAACAAUCCACUUUGUCUCAGCAGCAACAACAACAGGACGGAUGUUAAACUCUGUCUGCGCCGGCACCUCCACAUCUCACGCUUGUCGUGCAGCGGGGCCAAUCGGCAGCGAAUGCGGCCGGCGCCCGGCUGCAGGCGGCUCUCUCAAUGGUCUCUCCCACCAUGAAAGCAGUGGUGGAUGCUGUGUGGGCGGUGUGGAGCAUCGGGGCCUCCAUCUAUGACUACAUCCACACCAACGCCAUGGAGGAGCGCAUCCACGCCCUGGAAAACGUCAUCACCAUCCACCAGUGUGUGAUCGGGCUGCUGUCUGCUGGCGUUGUGGUUCUCUUCACCUACAUCCUCUUCAAGAAGAUCUGAUCAUGGAGAGGAUGAGCUGCUGAAAGUGAUGCAGGUGGACCGAAGUCAUACUCAAGUACAUUACUAAUACUGUGGUAGGAGAGUGCAACAAAUUAUCACUGGAGUGCCACUUCCCUGGGCUUCAUGUUAUGUAAUUUUAAUUUUUUUUUUUUUACUGGUUCUAAAGGAAACGGGCGUAUGGGGCUGCAGGUUUUCAUACACCAGUUUUAAUAGUUUCUGUCCUAAUGGAGACUAUGGUCGGCACUCUGCCAGCAUCUUUUUCCAUUCAGUAUUUAAUUUUCAUGCCUAAAAUACCACAAGGAUUCAGUGUGUUCAACCGAGACAAAUAUAACAUCUGGCAUUAAGAUUUAAGGUUUAAGUGCAUUAUGACACAACAUCAAAAAUAUGAAUGAUUUCAUAGUUAAAUACUUUAUUAUGACUUCACUAAACAGUCUCAGAUCAACAUCCUGAGAAUAUGUUGUCAAUGCCAAUCCUUAAAUAUAGAGCAAAUUGUUAUGCUUAGCUUAAUUCCCAAAAUGUUGAUCAUCCCGUCAUUUAAUUGCACGUAUCUGAAUGGUAUCAGCAAAAAAAAAAAAAAAAAAAAAAUAGAUUGACCCUGUUAAAAAAUCCUAUGUAAUCAAAAAUACCAUGUUGGCAUCACAACUACUGCCUUAAAUCCAGUUUUGUCCUUAUCUUGUUUUUGUAUUAAUCUUUCUCAAAAUCUGAAUGUAAAAAAAAUGAGCAAAAUAAUUAAUAAAUUAAAUCUAUAAAACUGACCACGUGUCUCUUAUAAAGGAGCAGCUUGUAAGUCAAUUGUAUUUAGUUCUCAACUGUAAGCAGAUUUCUUGUGUCACUUUAGAGGGUGAAAUGAGAGAAAACAGGUCCAGUAAUUUUUAAUAGUAAUGUGUAGGUUUUUAUCUAUUUUAAAGUUCUGUAUCAUUUUUCACAUGCAUCAUACCUCACCACCGUUACAUCACUGUAGGUGUAACUACUGUAAACUUAAGUGUCCUUAACUGUAAAUAUAUAGAGAUGUCUUUUGAUAGUCUAUU